rnacentral:rRNA from 1 species
AACGAACGCUGGCGGCAUGCCUAACACAUGCAAGUCGAACGAGACCUUCGGGUCUAGUGGCGCACGGGUGCGUAACGCGUGGGAACCUGCACUUAGGUUCGGAAUAACUCCCCGAAAGGGGUGCUAAUACCGGAUAAUGUCUUCGGACCAAAGAUUUAUCGCCUUUGGAUGGGCCCGCGUUGGAUUAGCUAGUUGGUAGGGUAAAAGCCUACCAAGGCGACGAUCCAUAGCUGGUUUGAGAGGAUGAUCAGCCACACUGGGACUGAGACACGGCCCAGACUCCUACGGGAGGCAGCAGUGGGUAAUAUUGGACAAUGGGCGAAAGCCUGAUCCAGCAAUGCCGCGUGAGUGAUGAAGGCCUUAGGGUUGUAAAGCUCUUUUACCCGGGAUGAUAAUGACAGUACCGGAAGAAUAAGCUCCGGCUAACUCCGUG